GCACCCGCGGUAAUUCCAGCACCGAUAGCGUAUAUUAAUGCUGCUGCUGUUAAAAAGCUCGUAGUUGGAUCAAGAGUUGGACAGUGCACGGUGGCCCCGUUUUGUAGUGAGGCUCCGGCCGAUCUGCUGGCGGCGGAUCAACCCCGUGCGCCAAACUGUCCACUCUAACAGACCGAAGCGGUUCCCUGUGAGUAGGCUCCUUAAUUGGGGCUGCAAGCGCUUACGCAUCAACCAUAUGCAUACGGGACGUCGGUCAAAGUUACUGUGAACAAACCAGCGUGUCCAAAACAGGCUUUCGCCUGAAUGUUCGAGCAUGGAAUAACAAGGGAUCGAUUCUCUCGGUUCUUUUUGUUGGUUUUUAACCGAGAAUGAGUAAUUCAGUCCACGGUGUCUGAGUUGGGUUUCCCUUCACCUCGGUGGAGGCCCCAAUUAGGCCGUAUGCUUACGGGAUCAAUAGGGACUGACGGGGUCGUACGUACUUCCACGUCAGAGGUGAAAUUCUUAGAUCGUGGGAAGACGAACUUCUGCGAAAGCAUUCAACAAGAAUUUCUUCAUUAAUCAAGAACGAGAGUGUGGGGAUCGAAGAUGAUCAGAUACCGUCGUAGUCCACUACUGUAAACAAUGCCGUCUCAGGAUUGAGAAGUGAACAGAAUGACUUUCACAGCACUAACCCCUGAAACGAGAAAUCAAAGAUUAUGGAUUCAGGGGGCAGUACAUUCGCAAGGCUGAAACUUAAAGGAAUUGACGGAAUGACACCACAAGGCGUGGAGUAUGCGGCUUAAUUCGAUUCAACACGGGGAAUUUUACUAGGUCAGGACAAUGUAAGGAUUGACAGAUUGAGAGCUCUUUCUCGAUCCAUUGUGUGGUGGUGCAUGGCCGCUCCUGGUUGGUGGAGUGAUUUGUCUGGUUGAUUCCGUUAACGAACGAGAUCUCGACCCUUAAAUAGGUGCCCAUGUCGAUUGUAGUUUCGCCCCCGCUGGCUUGCCGGAUUGGAGCGGGACGAGACUGUGGGAAUACUUCUUAAGGGGACUGUGUGCGUCUAUAGCACGCGGAAGAGCGAGCCAAUAGCAGGUCUGUGAUGCUCCUAAAUGUCCUAGGCCGCACGCGCACUACACUGAUGCAAUAAACGAGUCUGAGUGCCUUCUGGCAACCUACCUGGAAGCGGGUGGGAAAUCUUUUGAACUUGCAUCGUGAUGAG
rnacentral:rRNA from 1 species